CAUGAUACUUUACGAAUCGCAUGGCCUUGUUGCCGGCGAUGGUUCAUUCAAAUUUCUGCCCUAUCAACUUUCGAUGGUAGGAUAGUGGCCUACCAUGGUUUCAACGGGUAACGGGGAAUUAGGGUUCUAUUCCGGAGAGGGAGCCUGAGAAACGGCUACCACAUCCAAGGAAGGCAGCAGGCGCGCAAAUUACCCAAUCCCGACACGGGGAGGUAGUGACAAUAAAUAACAAUAUAGGGCUCUUUCGGGUCUUAUAAUUGGAAUGAGUACAAUUUAAAUCCCUUAACGAGGAACAAUUGGAGGGCAAGUCUGGUGCCAGCAGCCGCGGUAAUUCCAGCUCCAAUAGCGUAUAUUAAAGUUGUUGCAGUU
rnacentral:rRNA from 1 species